rnacentral:rRNA from 1 species
UACAGAGGUCUCAAGCGUUGUUCGGAUUCAUUGGGCGUAAAGGGUGUGUAGGUGGCGCGCUAAGUCGGGUGUGAAAUUUCGGAGCUUAACUCCGAAACUGCAUUCGAUACUGGCGUGCUUGAGGACUGGAGAGGAGACUGGAAUUUACGGUGUAGCGGUGAAAUGCGUAGAUAUCGUAAGGAAGACCAGUGGCGAAGGCGGAUCUCUGGACAGUUACUGACACUGAGGCACGAAGGCCAGGGGAGCAAACGGG